GAAUCCGGUGAAUCGUCACCGCAACACACCAUCCGACUGCCCUCGCCAAAUCAUCUUUCCGUUGUACCACCGGUUGGAGUUUGACGACGUUUUCAACCUCUGUUGCUAAUCACUUUGAUUAUCUCCGUUCGAUCACUCGGAAGCUCGAAAUUGUUUGGUUUUGCUCAAAUUUGUUUGAAAAGUAAGUUGCUUGAUCAGAUUUGUCGAUAGACGUAAGCUGAACACCACCAUUGUCAAACCGUAUGAACCACCACGGAAUCACCGAAGUGCUUUCCUUUGAUUUCUUGUGAUUAUCUCGACUUCCAUUCGUGUCGUGAGAUGCCAGCUAUGAAGGCUUUUGGUGAUAGUUAAGGACGUUGCUGAGUUUUGUGUCAUUAUUCGUGCAAGCUAAGAUGAAGGAUCGCAUACAGCGGCAGGAUGAAACUAAUGACAGGAUCCUCAGGGAAAUU
rnacentral:lncRNA from 1 species